rnacentral:rRNA from 1 species
GGCAUGCGGCGUGCUAAUAAUGCAAGUCGAGCGAAUGGAUUACGUGCUUGCUGCCAUGAAGUUAGCGGCGGACGGGUGAGGAAUCGUGGGUAACCGGCCCAUAAGACAGGGAUAACUCCGGGAAACCGGGGCUAAUACCGGAUAACAUUUUGAACCGCAUGGUUCGAAAUUGAAAGGCGGCUUCGGCUGUCACUUAUGGAUGGACCCGCGUCGCAUUAGCUAGUUGGUGAGGUAACGGCUCACCAAGGCAACGAUGCGUAGCCGACCUGAGAGGGUGAUCGGCCACACUGGGACUGAUACACGGCCCAGACUCCUACGGGAGGCAGCAGUAGGGAAUCUUCCGCAAUGGACGAAAGUCUGACGGAGCAACGCCGCGUGAGUGAUGAAGGCUUUCGGGUCGUAAAACUCUGUUGUUAGGGAAGAACAAGUGCUAGUUGAAUAAGCUGGCACCUUGACGGUACCUAACCAGAAAGCCACGGCUAAUCC